UACGGAGGGAGCUAGCGUUGUUCGGAAUUACUGGGCGUAAAGCGCACGUAGGCGGCUUUGUAAGUUAGAGGUGAAAGCCCGGGGCUCAACUCCGGAACUGCCUUUAAGACUGCAUCGCUUGAAUCCGGGAGAGGUGAGUGGAAUUCCGAGUGUAGAGGUGAAAUUCGUAGAUAUUGGGAAGAACACCGGUGGCGAAGGCGGCUAUCUGGACCGACAUUGACGCUGAGGCGCGAAAGCGUGGGGAGCAAACAGG
rnacentral:rRNA from 1 species